rnacentral:lncRNA from 1 species
AUGUGUAACAGUUAAAUACUAGAUUAUACAUGAAUAUAUAAAGAAAUACAAUUUAGCAUUAUACAUUUGCAAACAUCAUUACACUGUGAUCCUGCUCAUGAAAUAUAGGUCGAAUACAACCCUUUCUUCAGUCAUAGUGACAAAUUACGCAUGAUCUUUAGCUUGAAAGAUCAUAUUACUUAUAGUCACUUAUAAAUGAACUCGGAUACUAAAAUUGAAAACAUAAAUUCAAACUAUGUAUGUUCAUGUAUAAAGAUGUAUCUAAUCAAAAUUCAAAACGGAAGUCCCUUCUUUAAUAAUUCUAACCUCCCCAAUUUGUCAUCAAAUCGCAAAUUUAUCAAUUCCCCGAUAUACAAAUUAGAUAUACGGUAUAUGUUACUGAUACGUAGUUGACCUGAAUGAGGAUGAUACCCUUAUCGUGCUUUCUCCACGUUUUUGAGGCGAACUAAAAAUGUUAAAAAAAUCAUAUCAAUUGAUAU